UGCAUGUUGUGUGUAUGUGUGUGUGUGUGUGUGUGUGUGUGCGCACACACACACACACACACACACACAUGCAGG